GCCAGUAUACAGCAACUGUUGGAAGCCACUGAAGUGCCGACUCGAUUGGACUCGACGGCGACAGCGACGGAGACGGCGACUGCGACGACACCUGACAAUGUGAUCGGACCACACUGUGCUUGGGCACUGUUGCCGUAUUUGCAUCGUCAAUAUUGACGCAUGGUAGUUGGAAUGGCCCGAAGGAGGAUGAUGAAGAGGAGGAUGACGAAGAUGAAGACGCAGAUCGAGAUGGAGAUGGUGCAAAUAAAUCAUAAAUACUAAGCGCGUUGUCCAUUGGCUUCGUUGUUUGGCAAAGUAAUUGAAAAACUCAACCCAAAAUGUGAAGGAGCGAGAGAGAGAGAGAGCGAUUAAGAUGAUCUCUCCACUUGUCCACUUGUGUGUUCCAGUUUCCAGUUUCGAGUUUUCGUUUCAUACGUUGCAUUGCAUUUUAAGGUAGAAGGUUGGCAGCUUCAGCUGCAGUUAUUAAUUGGUAUUUAAAGUAGAGAAUAAUGUUAGCUCAAACAAAAGGACAACAGCAGUCAAGCACUUGAGACUGAGUGGCUCUCGGCUCACGGCUCAUGGCUCAUGGCUCAUCCAUCACCCACAGCGUCUCGAGUGGCACACACACUGUGCACACUUAUGUUACUCGUCUCUUAGGUAGACCAAAUUGCAAUCAGUUAGCAGCUAGAUGCUAGAACUUAGCAGCCAGCUGGGUUGAGACACACACACACAUAAACACACACACAAGUGCACAGAGUUUUCGACAAUUGUUUCGACCCGGAACCGCAGGACACAAUUUUCUUCUCUAUUGGCAGUUUUAUUAUUUUCACACUCGAAAAUAAUUGCAUGCUGUGAGCUUAUCCCGAGCUACAGCUAGAGCUCGAGCUCAGACGCUGAGGCACCACACCCAGAAGUGCCAAGGUGCCUUGGCAGACCUCGUGGCAACUGUCGGACUGUCUGUCCAAAGUUUAUGACGUUGCAAUGGCAGCUGUGGCCCAAGCCUAUUACCUAAUGCACACAGUGCAACUUAGAUUGAGAGAAUGAGAAUGAGACUGGGCCAAAUACUUUUAGUUUGCAGCUAGCCGUUAAAACGACUGCCAAAACAUUCAAUAAAUAUGUUGGCUCAUAUAAAUUAUGGUGGCUAAUGAACACGCGCGUUGUCAUUUGCCCAACAAUCCUAGAGAUACGAGGCAGAGGCACAAUGAAGCGCAGUUGCAUCUGCCACCGCUGCUCCACGCUUAUCAACCGCCACCAAUCUCUAAGAUUUCCAAUGAAAUUUACUAUAUCAAUAGCCGAGCGAGCACAACACAAGAAGAACCUCAAGACCCUCGACAGCCGUCGCAUUUAUGGGUAACGUAUGGCAACGAUUGUUGUUGUUGUGCUCUCUCACAAAGGGUUCCCUUCGCUGCCCUUCGCCUGAUUGAAAUUUGUGAGCUACUUGGCUUUAUGGAUUGCUAAUUAAUGAAACACCAAAAUUAAAAAAACAGAA